UACGUAGGGUGCGAGCGUUAAUCGGAAUUACUGGGCGUAAAGCGUGCGCAGGCGGUUGUGCAAGACAGAUGUGAAAUCCCCGGGCUUAACCUGGGAACUGCAUUUGUGACUGCACAGCUGGAGUGCGGCAGAGGGGGAUGGAAUUCCGCGUGUAGCAGUGAAAUGCGUAGAUAUGCGGAGGAACACCGAUGGCGAAGGCAAUCCCCUGGGCCUGCACUGACGCUCAUGCACGAAAGCGUGGGGAGCGAACAGG
rnacentral:rRNA from 1 species